CACUGGGCGCCCAAGAUCUCCUCGACUUGCUGCACUCCUACUGCUUCUGCUCCCGGGGGAACAGGAGCACGGGUGCCGCCUGCGGGAGCAGGUGGAUAGAACGGCGAGCUGAAGAGGGGCAGCCGCCGACAGCCAGGUGCACAUGCUGCAGGAGGAGCUGGACGAGCUGAAGGGAGGGGGCUCCCUGCCUUAGCAGCCUGGUGCCCCCAGCCAAGGAAUGAAAUCUUAAACCAGUCAGUGGGGAAUCGCCUGAUGAGCAGCAGUUUGGUGGCAGCAGUGGGAUUCAAAGGACUCAUCUGAUGGCUUCGGAGAUGAGAAACACAGGCAUUGGUACCCGCAAAACCUUUGAGUUCUCCAUCUUUUUCGCUGUUUCCGAGGGCCAUGGGUAAGUUCCUCUCGGAUCUGAGAUCCACUGUCUUUGUGUUGAGCUCCCGAUCUAACUGGCUUUCCAGUCCAGGGUCAAUGGGUCAGUCUAGACUGACAAGAUGCUCUAAGAGAGCAUCAGUCUUAGCCCUUGGUUAGUCCACAGUCCCCAUUUGUUGGAGUCUGCUGGUUGAGUCUGCAGGCCCCUUGUGUUAGGGUCUGCUAGUUCAGUCCGUGGUUCUUGCUAAUGGAGAGGAGUGGAAGAAAUGUGUGCUCCAUGCACACCCAGUCCUUGAAAACUUCCCACGUGCAUUUUACAUGCAUUUUGCCUUCUGUUGACUGUCGAUGGGUUCUAAGGAAAUGGUGAAGGCACAGUGAGGAGGAAUUGUGGGUUUCUGCAUGACUACCUCGAGCACUCGUCAACCUGAACAACCGCCCGGCGCUACCAGAACUGAAAGACAUCCCAUCACCAUGGAUUGGAAGACUCC